AACGAACGCUGGCGGCGUGCCUAACACAUGCAAGUCGAACGGAUUGAAGGGGCUUGCUCCUUCAGUUAGUGGCGCACGGGUGAGUAACGCGUAGAUAAUCUGCCUGAUGAUCUGGGAUAACAGUUCGAAAGGACUGCUAAUACCGGAUAAGCCCACGUGGUCUUUGGACCGUGCGGGAAAAGGGGGGGACCUUCGGGCCUUCUGUCAUCAGAUGAGUCUGCGUACCAUUAGCUAGUUGGUAGGGUAAUGGCCUACCAAGGCUACGAUGGUUAGCUGGUUUGAGAGAAUGAUCAGCCACACUGGAACUGAGACACGGUCCAGACUCCUACGGGAGGCAGCAGUGGGGAAUUUUGCGCAAUGGGCGAAAGCCUGACGCAGCAACGCCGCGUGAGUGAUGAAGGCUUUCGGGUCGUAAAGCUCUGUCGAGGGGAAAGAAGUGUAUUGUGGUUAAUACCCGCGAUACUUGACGGUACCCCUAAAGGAAGCACCGGCUAACUCCGUGCCAGCAGCCGCGGUAAUAC
rnacentral:rRNA from 1 species